rnacentral:rRNA from 1 species
UUGUGGUUAAAAAGCUCGUAGUUGGAUCUCGGCGGACUGAGGGCGGUUUGCUUGCUAGUAUUACUGCCCUAUAGUCCGUAGUUUUGCCAGAGGUUUCGGGGUGCUCUUAAUCGAGUGUCCCGGGAUGCUGGCAGGUUUACUUUGAAAAAAUUAGAGUGCUCAAAGCAGGCUAUUACGCCUGAAUAUUCGUGCAUGGAAUAAUAGAAUAGGAAGUCGUUUCUAUUUUGUUGGUUUUCGGAAAUCGACUUAAUGAUUAAUAGGGACAGUCGGGGGCAUUUGUAUUCAAACGACAGAGGUGAAAUUCUUGGACCGUUUGAAGACAAACUACUGCGAAAGCAUUUGCCAAGAAUGUUUUCAUUAAUCAAGAACGAAAGUUAAAGGUUCGAAGGCGAUUAGAUACCGCCCUAGUUUUAACCAUAAACGAUGCCAGCUAGCGAUCUGCGGACGUUUUUUUUGUAGACUCCGCAGGAAGCUUCCGGGAAACCAAAGCAUUUGGGUUCCAGGGGAAGUAUGGUUGCAAAGCUGAAACUUAAAGGAAUUGACGGAAGGGCACCACCAGGAGUGGAGCCUGUGGCUUAAUUUGACUC